CUUACGAUGAGGGACUCAUCGAUCUCCACCGUUAGUCCUGGGCCUCCUAUCAGACGGCUAUUCUCCUCAACACACGCACUACAUUUUUCCCUAAGAAGCUUAAACCAUUCGUUAACCGUUUUGCGGCUAACACCUGACUCGGCCCUAGUACGCUUCACGUGCGAGUUUUGCGACCACCCGAAGGUAAUGCGGAGAAGUUGUGCAAGCGACAAUCUUGAGUUUUGGAACACACUACCCUUUCGGAUAGAGCAUUCCGAACCUUCACAAUUGUCGUUUGCACAAAUCCAUUUGUACGCAUUCCUUCUUUGCGUACCUCGCAAAACCAUCGAGUGGUGGCACUUCUCACAUUCCUGUUCUGUCCUUAACAAUCCUGCAUCCUGCAUCAGCCGCACUACCUGUUGCCUAUCCUGCGUUAAAACCGCUAACUGCCCUAUCAACUUAACCUGGCUAAGCUCGCUCAUUUCUUUAUCUAAAUUUCUUUCUUUCCUCUCUGCUCUACACUUUUAUAAAAUUAAAUUUCCGAUAAAUGUCGAAUAAAUCACCGCUAUGGUUUUCAAAUUUCCUAAACAAUUAAAAAAAAUCGCACAAAACACCAAAAACACAGUUUAACACCAAUCCAAAAAACACCUUUGCUCGCGAUGCUUUGGCUGUGAUUUAUUGGUGAAGCACAACCGAUUGUUUACAUUGUGGUUUAACGGUUUAACUGUCAAAACAUGCAAAUGACCCUAUUGCCCCAACUUUAACCCCCGGGUAAUUAACUGAUAAAGCACAUACCACCCACACGAACAAAUAAUUUAUUUUGUAAUUAUUGUAACUAUUUUUUUCAGUAACUUUUAUGUGCGACAUCGUACCACCAAUCCAUCUCAGAACCAUGUCCUGUCGACACUCUCACCAAGGACGGUUUUAUAUGAUGUAUGCGGCGUGCGGAGUGAGUGGCAAACGAUACUUCAUCUAAGCUGCUCAACGUUUUCUUCCUCUGCUGCGGUAUCGGAAUCGUAACAUCGUAAAUAUGGCCCCAGCGACCUAUUUCUAUUGUUGCGACAAAUGUCAGCACGCGUCGUACGAAUCAUCGGUGGUAUGCUUUCCGAAGAACAAAGCUGCCACAGCUGAACCCACAGCCCGAUUGCACGAUCAGCACAGUUACAGCAUAGCGUAAGGUUCAACACCCGGGGCUCGCGUUGAGCUAACAGUACGGCACCGUCAACGACACGAUCGGUCACCCAACGCCAUGCCCGUCGAAUGAUCCGCUUUCUACCGACCAAUCUGCUGACGCCGAUGGGUGCCCAAUCGCGCAACUCGGAAACAGAAUCUGCCUCACCCCCACGACCGUGACAUUACUAUUAGAUAAUAAAAGUGCGAUCGAUGGUUCGAA